rnacentral:lncRNA from 1 species
ACAAAAGCAACACAUAGUGCCUCUCCGGGACAACGGAAACAGUACAAAGAUCAAAGAUAUCAAAAGCAAGGUGGAGUGCUAAUACUGUUCCUCUAUCAAGAAAUAUAAGAUAGUUUAGAUCACUACCUAGUACUAUGUUAUAAUAUUAGACCAUAUAUAUAGAUAGUUGGGCCCCGUCCGAUAGCCUUGUUGGCUUACUCCUCGCAUGUUGUAUUGUGAGGACCUGCUGAUGGAUAUACUUUGUUAGAUUGGGCAUUCAUAAACAAAUUCUGGACACACAAAGAGAAAUCACGAACCAAGCGGCUUAAUUCGAUACAAAUUAAAAGACUCUCAGAAUGUAUCCAUAUGAAUACAUUUUUAGAUGACAAACAACAAACCAUGGCAAUAAAAUAGUAAGCAACGAUUAUAUCACAGGGAAUAGCAAAAAUCAUUCCUUGUACCAAGUCAUGGAAGCACAAACUGAGAAAUGUGUAUGCUACCAUAUUGACCAAUCAAGAUCGUCACUCCAGCCAAAUUGCUAGAGAAUAACAUAAUUUUUUGCUGGUAAGUGAAGUUUGUUGCUAUUCUAUCAAAGCUAAUUGGAAGUUGCAUUUUUCAAUUUUAGUUCUAAUGUAUCCAUCUGAUUUUCGUUAUAAGAAUUUCCUUUCAAUUCAUGUGUUUUUAUUUUAUAUUGGGCAUUGUGCUUACUAACAUGACAUACUCGGUUACGAAUCUUGUUUAUAAGCACUGGUCGGCCAUCAACAAAGAUCAUGCAUCCUCCAAACAUUAAUUUGGGUCAUAUUGCACAAGGCAUGAGCAGAGACCAUAAGAAACUAAAAAGAACAGAGAAACUGGUACCACGCAACUAAUAAAAGGUUCAGUUUUGUAUAUAGAGAUGGUUCGCUUGCAGGCAAUCAAUUGAACUAACAUGUCCAAACAGCACAUCAUGAUGUAUGGUUGUUCAGGGCGGCCUGAGUUGCCCGGUCUACUCAUCCAAUAUUUGCGAAGCUAGGAAGUUUUGUGUAGUUUAGAUAGUACCUUCUUUUUCAGACACAAUGCUUGUGGCAGCAACAGUAAGCAUCGAGGUCAUCGCAUGGCUCCUCCCCGUUGUAGCUACUCCACCACCUGUCCCAGAACUCGCUAUACUGGAUAUCGAUUGCUGCAGGAGUAAUCCCAGCACAAGUCAAGUCAGAAAUCAUCACAUAUAUGUAUCACUUUCAUUCAGAUGAAAACAUUAAAAAUAUAUAGAAAGGAUAUUACCAACACCUUGGGGUUACUUAUGUGUGCAGUCCGACUCACCAUUGAAAAGAACCUUUUGUUAGAACUAAUAACAGGCGGAUACUCCCCAUCAUCCUUUAUUUUAAACCUUAUAACACCAUCAUCAGCCUGCACAUGCCAUCCGUGAACCCUGAGCAAUUGGCUUGUAGCAACACACAUAAUAGCUAUAGAUACAUAAUUGCCCAUGUGGUUCUUCUAAAAAAUGACCGUAGAGAUGUGGUUCUUCUAAAAAUAAUAGCUAUAGAUACAUAAUUGCCCAUGUCGCGGCCAUCUCUACAUGACAAAAGAAAUAGCAAUACUAACAUUUUGCAAUCUGGGACAUUAAUGCAGAACGUCCAUGGGAAGUAAUAUUCACAAAAAGGGACUGGAGCAAUAGGAAAAGGGGGGCACAGUUUCAAGGCAGACCUUUAAUUUUCAGAUUUGAUGGGCUGGAGAUAUGGUUUUGGAGAGUCGGCGGAUUGUAGACCACCUAAUCUUGAAUCAGGUAUCAUUGUUAUCAUUGAUGAACACAUAAUAAUUAUUCUGCAAGAAUG